rnacentral:rRNA from 1 species
UACAGAGGGGGCAAGCGUUGUUCGGAAUUACUGGGCGUAAAGGGCGCGUAGGCGGCCUUUCUAAGUCGAACGUGAAAUCCCUGGGCUCAACCCAGGAACUGCGUCCGAUACUGGAAGGCUUGAAUCCGGGAGAGGGAUGCGGAAUUCCAGGUGUAGCGGUGAAAUGCGUAGAUAUCUGGAGGAACACCGGUGGCGAAGGCGGCAUCCUGGACCGGUAUUGACGCUGAGGCGCGAAAGCCAGGGGAGCAAAGCGGGG